CCUACGGGUGGCAGCAGUGAGGAAUAUUGGUCAAUGGGCGCGAGCCUGAACCAGCCAAGUAGCGUGAAGGAUGACUGCCCUACGGGUUGUAAACUUCUUUUAUAAAGGAAUAAAGUGAGGCACGUGUGCCUUUUUGUAUGUACUUUAUGAAUAAGGACCGGCUAACUCCGUGCCAGCAGCCGCGGUAAUACGGAGGGUCCGAGCGUUAUCCGGAUUUAUUGGGUGUAAAGGGAGCGUAGGUGGGUUGUUAAGUCAGUUGUGAAAGUUUGCGGCUCAACCGUAAAAUUGCAAUUGAUACUGGCAGGCUGGAGUGCAGUUGAGGUAGGCGGAAUUCGUGGUGUAGCGGUGAAAUGCUUAGAUAUCACGAAGAACUCCGAUGGCGAAGGCAGCUUACUAAACGGCGACUGACAUUGAGGCUCGAAAGUGUGGGUAGCAAACAGGAUUAGAUACCCUAGUAGUC
rnacentral:rRNA from 1 species